GACAGAGGGGGCAAGCGUUGCUCGGAAUCACUGGGCGUAAAGGGCGUGUAGGCGGGAUGGCAAGUCAGGCGUGAAAUCUCUCGACUCAACCGAGAAACGUCGGCUGAUACUGCCGUUCUUGAGGGAUGCAGAGGAGACUGGAAUUCCCGGUGUAGCGGUGAAAUGUGUAGAGAUCGGGAGGAACACCGGUGGCGAAGGCGGGUCUCUGGGCAUUUCCUGACGCUGAGGCGCGAAAGCGUGGGGAGCAAACAGG
rnacentral:rRNA from 1 species